UCAGUUCUUUUUUAUUUUUCCAUUGGAUUUUCUAAAAUAAAAUCUCUCUCACUCCAAAAGAACUCCUUCUUGAACUGUUCUUGUUAAUUAAAGAGGAGCUUAUCUAAGAACAUUUUUAUGAUCUCUGCUUCUCACCAUCCUCCUCACAAUUGCAGUACAUCACACAAUCCAAACUGUUUUCUAACACCCAUGUUAUUCUCAAACCAAAGGAUAUUUUGUUUGCACUGGCUGACUUCUGACAACACUGAACACUGGACGUUUUAUCAUCUAAAAAGCCGAAUUCCUACUCUGAUAACAAAAGUAACAUCUGCUUUAAAAACAACAACAAAAAGCAAAAUUAAGAACACCCCAGAUAAUUUGACUAAAAUGUAUACUCUAAUCCAGUGCUUCCUAAUCCAAGUGGGCUCUGCAAUUGCAGAAUUCCUAUUAAUUUAAAAAUAGGAAAUCUAGAUGCUGGGAUCUCUGGUUCUUUCUGGCAAUGUUUUGUGCUGCUGCUUGCUCUAACGUACGGCCUGUACAGAAGCAACCUACUGCCCUCUUGACAUUUAGUACACCAUCUUCUCUCAGAAUUCCAACUCAGAGCUUUGGCUGUAAAGAAAGCUUCUACUAACUUUUUUUUUUUCCUAGCAGAUCUCUGUUUCAUCUACCCAGGUACCUAGCAAUAGUCAAUUACAUAAAGAAAGGAGACAAGAUAGGAUCUCUUUUGCAUGUAUGCAAUUAUAUUAUGGUAGUAAGAAAGCAUAGGAGUGAGAUACUCAGUAGUGGAUGCUGUGAUUAUAUAAGCCACCCGCACAGCACCAGCUUAGUCCCGCUGUUCUUUCACUCCCCAACCUCUCUUUGGUGAGAUUCAGGGUAUGUUUUAUGUUUGACAAAGCAGGGACAGAGAGUGUGUCAAGAGGCAAGUUUGGGCUCCCUGAAUCUCAGUCCCCAAUACCCAACCCUAGAAAACAUUAAGGAAGAUAGAAAUCUGCUUUGACACUUGCCAGAUGUCAAAGCUUAGAACUAUACCACCUGAAAAGAAAUAGCAGAAAGACACAGCUCUAGUUAUAUUUUUCUCCAUCCCCAGUGAACAUGCUAUGCCAAGAUUAGUGUUUUCUGGGGACUGGAUAUACACUGAGCCUUCUCAGCUGGAAAGCCAUAAGUAUUUUCUGGUCGGCUUGUACUGUUUCAAAGCCACCCUGGAAGCAGAGCAUAGCCAGAUAGGCCCUUGUGUUCAUGUUUCAUUCCAAGUGCCUGGAAUAUACAUCCCUCCCCUCAACCCCAAGCUUAUGUAACUGGAUGGCUCACUUUGUUAGCAGCAUUGCAUUAUUUAUUAUCUUGAGAAAAUCAGCAUCACUAGGUCUAAAAUUCACUGGAAAAGAAUUAAGUGAGCCAACAAGUAAAGCUUUUCACACUUACAUAGAUAUUAUGCUCCUUUCCUAAUAUAUCUAAAUAUGCUGUGAUCCAAAUGUUCAGCAAAAUCUGGUGCCUGUUAGCUUCUGUUAAAAUCUUCAUGGAACAAUUAACUAAUAAACAAAAGGCUUAUAUAUAAUGAACAACAUAUUUGGCUGGAGAGUGAAAAAGAUUAUAAACAGCUUUUGUACCCUGUCCUCUAAAGUCUGAAAACAGACUGUCAGCCCCAAACACUCCAGUUACGAGAACACAUUGGAAAGGAGAUGGAGAAAGGUAGGCUCAAAACAAAUCAAGAUCAUAAGGCAAAAUACAGAGUUACAAAAAUGAUGUUGGAGUCUUGUUUCCUAACAUGUGUUAAGAUUUCUAUCAUUGCUGAUGUUAAUAAUUGACAUGAAAUACAGAGAGAGUUAGAUAACAGCAGGAACGCUCAGGCCAGGAACCCAUUUCAUUUUCUAGUGGUGUGAGGCACAGGGUAAGGGGGAAAUACACAGUGUCAUGACAGAGAUGCUCUUGCUUCACCGUGUUACUCUCAAGGUAUUUUGUAUUGUCUAGAAAGAGGAUUCUGGUUGUGGCAGGGAACGGGAAAAAGAACAAGAUGUGAAUUUAGUGUUUGUGGAAGUGAGAAUUAAUAGCAAAACCUUGAGCUGGGUAUAAGCUCUGCAGGUAUUGUGCAAGCCUCUUCACACAGCACUGCCAUCUCACCCCAAUUUAUGACCUGGAACAUAGAAAAUUUUACUGCUUUUAGCUGGGACUGCAAGUUGUACCAAAGCAUACAAUGAUUUCAUAAAUCCAAGGGAAAGAGGUGAAAGCUCCAAGUUUCUUUAGGUCUUUUGCCUAGCUCAGGUGCAGCCUGGAGAAAAUGUGAUGGCACACUGAAGCAUCUGAGCCUGCAGAUCACAGUGCCAACAUUUGAAUGCAGGGGUUAAAUACAGUGAUUCAGUAUUCCCUAACUCAGAGUGCAUGAGCAAGCCAGGAUUUGUAGCACAAGCAAAUACAGGUAAACGAGUAGGAAUGGCUUCAGAAUGGCUGCAGUUUACACUUUCAGGUAGGUAGACUAUAUCUUGAUUUUUUACCACCAUACCUGACAGGAAUAACAUUUUUAUCUUUCACAGAGUUCCAGAAAAUCUCAGCCAGCAUGGGCUGCUGAGAUCAGUGGGCUCAUUGUCCAGCUAGCUGGCCCCAAGAAUUCACCAGGGAGAGGGAGUUCAGACUUUCACUUCUCUUCACACUGUAAGAGUCCCUGCAUUCUGGUUCAUACCACCAAAAGCCAGCUUUAACCAGAGAAAGUUCUACAAGCAAAAAUCAAAUGGGAAGAAUAAUCAGAGGAGCAUCCGUCAGAUCUUCCUCCCCCUGCCCCUCCACACUGAAAAAAAAAAGGAUGCAAGAAAGCAUAAUUCUGAAGAGCACUGCUGAAUACAAUCCAGAAGUUUUCUGGUGAGAGCACAGCAUUGCCAGAGCACAGGCUCCUGAAAAGAGGCUGAAGAACCAUUGGAUACGAAGCCAGAGCCCGUGCACAACGCCCUGCAAAUAGAGGUUUACAGCUUCUGCACUCAUUCCCUGAGAGAUGGACAGCUCAAGGAAGUAGAAGUACUGUGUUGGAGUCUUUCAGGAAGCAGAUCUGCUAAACCAGGGGCUUUGUCCAACACACACAAAAAAAAAAAAAAAAAAAAAAAAAAAAUCCCCCUGAGAAACAAAGGAAGAUGUGAAGAGAUGAGUGAAAAGGCAGUGUGUCAGCAAAGGAAAGCUCUCCUAGCAGGACUGAGGGAAUGCUGUCCUCGAAGCUCUCCAUGAACUGUCUGAAAAGGCUUUCUGAUGGGAUCACAAAAAGCUCAAGGGGAAAAAAGGUCAACAGAAACAAGCAUAAAUUUCAGCAAAGACAAAGUCUGCAUCAUCUUUUACAUUUCAAGAUCCCUAUCUGCUUAGAAACUCGAUUGCUCAACUUCUAGUUUGCAUGUCUUUGACAACCUUCGUUGAAAUCAUAUGCAAAUACUAAAUUUAUUACAGUUAGGGGUAACGUGAGAUGCUUUCUUAUUCAUUUAAUCAUAUCCAUCUGUUAAUUCCAGAAGAUGGUAGCUUUGAAUUGUAUUGUUAUUUGCAUUACCAGGAAUUGGGAGUAACCUAAGUAUGUGGUUACUUCAGUUUUAUUGAAGGCUGGGUUUUUGUUUUGUUUUUUUUUUUACUAUUUUGCAUAUUAAAUGUAGACAACCUGAGAAUCUUGAAGGAGACUGAUGGCUUUCUGUUAUUCUCUUAUCACUUGUCACAUCAGAAUACUGAGACAGCUGGACCACCACUCUGAGUCAGUGUAGCUGACUGUACAUUAGACAUGUAUGUCAUGCAUAAAACCCAUGGAAGAUAUUCACACAAUACAGUAGCAGAUCUGCUUCCCACCAAAUAUUAUUCCUUUUCUCUAAAAGAAGACUGGACUCAUACAAGUAUUGUUAGUUAGCCAAGUUAGUUGAAAACUGGAGGUGAAGCAGCGUUGCCCCUCUUUGUACAGCAUUAUUAUGUUGGUUCAGAAGUAUCUUCUAGUUAUUUAUUUGAUAAACUCAAAAUACUGUGAAGCAGUUCUAGCUAAGGUAAUACAGUAAAAAACACUCUCAGGUCAGCUAGAGAGUGCCUGCAUGGAGCUGCGCAGCUGUCCCAUUGCCCAGAGCAGUGCUGGUUACAGCAUACGGGCAGCCUGAGGAGAUGGGCUACACCCCUGAAUGCGCCACUGCAUUUCCAUAAGCAUUCAUUGUG
ensembl:lncRNA